AGAGUUUGAUCCUGGCUCAGAUUGAACGCUGGCGGCAUGCUUUACACAUGCAAGUCGGACGGCAGCACAGAGAAGCUUGCUUCUUGGGUGGCGAGUGGCGAACGGGUGAGUAACAUAUCGGAACGUACCGAGCAGUGGGGGAUAACUAAUCGAAAGAUUAGCUAAUACCGCAUAUCUUCUGAGGAAGAAAGCAGGGGACCAUUUGGCCUUGCGCUGUUUGAGCGGCCGAUAUCUGAUUAGCUAGUUGGUGGGGUAAAGGCCUACCAAGGCGACGAUCAGUAGCGGGUCUGAGAGGAUGAUCCGCCACACUGGGACUGAGACACGGCCCAGACUCCUACGGGAGGCAGCAGUGGGGAAUAUUGCACAAUGGGCGCAAGCCUGAUGCAGCGACGCCGCGUGAGGGAUGACGGCCUUCGGGUUGUAAACCUCUGUUAGCAUCGAAGAAGCGAAAGUGACGGUAGGUGCAGAGAAAGCGCCGGCUAACUACGUGCCAGCAGCCGCGGUAAUACGUAGGGCGCGAGCGUUGUCCGGAAUUAUUGGGCGUAAAGAGCUCGUAGGCGGCUGGUCGCGUCUGUCGUGAAAUCCUCUGGCUUAACUGGGGGCUUGCGGUGGGUACGGGCCGGCUUGAGUGCGGUAGGGGAGGCUGGAACUCCUGGUGUAGCGGUGGAAUGCGCAGAUAUCAGGAAGAACACCGGUGGCGAAGGCGGGUCUCUGGGCCGUUACUGACGCUGAGGAGCGAAAGCGUGGGGAGCGAACAGGAUUAGAUACCCUGGUAGUCCACGCCGUAAACGAUGAGUGCUAGGUGUUAGACCCUUUCCGGGGUUUAGUGCCGCAGCUAACGCAUUAAGCACUCCGCCUGGGGAGUACGACCGCAAGGUUGAAACUCAAAGGAAUUGACGGGGACCCGCACAAGCGGUGGAGCAUGUGGUUUAAUUCGA
rnacentral:rRNA from 1 species